AGUCAACUGCAGUAAAUGACAUCAUCAUCAUCAGUCAGCUGCAGUCAAAACAUCUCUUGGACUAUAAUAAACUUGAAGCAUACAUAAAGUGGUGCCGCCUCUCAGACUAUACAGAUAAGACCACUCAAGCAGUUUCUUAAUAAAAUUGCGAAAGACGACGGAAUACUGGAAAUGCUGCCGCCGCAUCAUCGUGGUGGUCCCAACUCCGUGGGACCUGAUUUUGGUAGUUAGUUAGCUCACUUUAGAUCUUACAUCGAUCGGGGUCGGUAGUUGUAAUUUAGGAUAUAGUCUUUUUAUA